AUCAAUUGAAUGUAUUUGAAAAAAAGAAAAACAUUAAUAAAGGAAAUCUGUUCUUAUCAGCUUAUCUGAUACGCCCCGCAUGCGGGGCCAGUAUACUAAACUGAUUUUUGGAAAUUGACGGAGGCUAAGGGCUUGCUCCACCUCCGUCGCGGGGUGGCCCGGCAUUGCAGUACAGUCGGGAAUGGCCCACCUGAU